UUAGAGUUUGAUCCUGGCUCAGAUUGAACGCUGGCGGCAGGCCUAACACAUGCAAGUCGAGCGGUAACAUUUCUAGCUUGCUAGAAGAUGACGAGCGGCGGACGGGUGAGUAAUGCUUGGGAACAUGCCUUGAGGUGGGGGACAACCAUUGGAAACGAUGGCUAAUACCGCAUAAUGUCUACGGACCAAAGGGGGCUUCGGCUCUCGCCUUUAGAUUGGCCCAAGUGGGAUUAGCUAGUUGGUGAGGUAACGGCUCACCAAGGCGACGAUCCCUAGCUGGUUUGAGAGGAUGAUCAGCCACACUGGAACUGAGACACGGUCCAGACUCCUACGGGAGGCAGCAGUGGGGAAUAUUGCACAAUGGGCGCAAGCCUGAUGCAGCCAUGCCGCGUGUGUGAAGAAGGCCUUAGGGUUGUAAAGCACUUUCAGUCAGGAGGAAAGGUUAGUAGUUAAUACCUGCUAGCUGGACGU
rnacentral:rRNA from 1 species